AGUACUAUGUAGUGUGACAGCCUCCUAAAUGUCUCUGAUUCAACUUUAUUUUUCGACACAUCCAUAAAGCGCGAAGUGCGUGGAACCCCGGAACACCUAAGCUCGAUGGAAAUCCCAAAAAUAUUUACAAGUUUACAGUACUAUGUAGUGUGACAGCCUCCUAAAUGUCCCUGACUCAACUUUAUUUUUCGACACAUCCAUAAAGCGCGAAGUGCAUGGACCCCCGGAACACCUAAGCUCGAUGGAAAUCCCAAAAAUAUUUACAAUCUCGGAAUCUCACUUCUCUUUCGCAAAUAUCAUGAGGUGCUCCCUUACCGAAUGGAAUACUAGUACAGCUUGAAUCCUCAAAGAAAAGUAGUAGUUGGCAAUUAUCUGCUAUUCGCAUG